GCCGUGUGCGGUGGCGCGUGCCUGUAAUCCAAGUCACUGGGAGGCUGAGGUUGGUGGAUCGAGUGAGCUGAGGAGCUCUGAGCUGCAGCAUGCUAUGUCGAACGGGUGUCCGUGCUAAGUUCGGUAUCGAUAUGGUGGUUUCUGGGGGGAGCCCGAGACCACCAGGUUGCUCUAAGGAGGGGUGUACCGCGCCCAGGUCGGAAACGAAGCAGGGUCAAAUCCCCCGUACUGUCCAGUAGUGGGAUAGUGCCUGUGAGUAGAUGCUGCAGUGCAGCCUUGGCAAGACAUCGAAACCCAAUCUUUU
rnacentral:SRP_RNA from 8 species